rnacentral:ncRNA from 1 species
UAGAGUAGAAAAGACGCGUUAAGUGUUGCAAAACGGGAUGUUGUUUGCAAACGAAAGGAUUUUCCUGCGGUGUCUUUUCGCGUCCGCUA